GCGUAUGCAACCUACCCUUAACAGGGGGAGUAGCCCAGAGAAAUUUGGAUUAAUACCCCACUAGUACUAGAGAUUGGCAUCAUGAACUAGUUAAAGAUUUAUCGGUUAAGGAUGGGCAUGCGUUAGAUUAGCUAGAUGGUGAGGUAACGGCUCACCAUGGCAACGAUCUAUAGCGGGUCUGAGAGGAUGAUCCGCCACACUGGCACUGAGAUACGGGCCAGACUCCUACGGGAGGCAGCAGUAGGGGAAUAUUGGUCAAUGGGGGAGACCCUGAACAGCCAUGCCGCGUGAGGGAAGAAG
rnacentral:rRNA from 1 species